rnacentral:rRNA from 1 species
CCUACGGGGGGCAGCAGUGGGGGAUAUUGCACAAUGGGGGAAACCCUGAUGCAGCGACGCCGCGUGUGGGAAGACGGUCUUCUGGAUUGUAAACCACUGUCCCCAGGGACGAAAAUGACGGUACCUGGGGAGGAAGCUCCGGCUCACUACGUGCCAGCAGCCGCGGUAAUACGUAGGGAGCAAGCGUUGUCCGGAAUUACUGGGUGUAAAGGGAGCGUAGGCGGGGAUGCAAGUUGGGUGUCAAAACUACCGGCUCAACCGAUAGUCGCACUCAAAACUGCAGCUCUUGAGUGAAGUAGAGGCAGGCGGAAUUCCGAGUGUAGCGGUGAAAUGCGUAGAUAUUAGGAGGAACACCAGUGGCGAAGGCGGCCUGCUGGGCUGUGACUGACGCUGAGGCUCGAAAGUGUGGGGAGCAAACAGGAUUAGAUACCCCUGUAGUC